GACGUAGGGCGCGAGCGUUGUCCGGAUUUAUUGGACGUAAAGAGCUUGUAGGCGGUUUGUCGCGUCUGCUGUGAAAUUUCGGGGCUCAACCCCGAACUUGCAGUGGGUACGGGCAGACUAGAGUGUGGUAGGGGAGACUGGAAUUCCUGGUGUAGCGGUGAAAUGCGCAGAUAUCAGGAGGAACACCGAUGGCGAAGGCAGGUCUCUGGGCCACUACUGACGCUGAGAAGCGAAAGCAUGGGGAGCGAACAGG
rnacentral:rRNA from 1 species